rnacentral:lncRNA from 1 species
AAUUAAUCUAAGCUCAUGGAAUAUAACCCAAUCUAAUAUCAAAAUAUUCCUUCUUGCCUUCUAGAAAGACAAACACAACGGUAGGGGAGUGAUAGAUAAUCUUUAAUCAGUCUUAACAUGUUUGAUAAUCUAAAUCCUUCUUAAUUUAGAUAAAUAAAAAGACGGGAGUCGAACUUUUACCUUUUUUUUUUUUUUUUUUUUAAGCCGUAGAUUAUUUAAUUUUCUGUGGCUUGCACUCCAUCUCAAUCUCUGUAUGUUGAAACUUCUUUCCUUUGCGUAUUGGGACAGAUGGAAACAAACCGUUGAUCACCAUGACUGACUUGGUGAGAGUCUCCAUGGUAUUGCGACGCGUCCGUUUGUGUUUGACUGAGUUGGGGAGAGUCGAAAAAUAAUUU